GAUGAACGCUAGCGGCAGGCUUAAUACAUGCAAGUCGAGGGGCAGCAUGACUGUAGCAAUACAGUUGAUGGCGACCGGCAAACGGGUGCGGAACACGUACAGAACCUUCCUUCGAGCGGGGAAUAGCCCAGAGACAUUUGGAUUAAUACCCCAUAGUACAACGGAGUGGCAUCACUUUGUUGUUAAAGAUUUAUCAUUUGAAGAUGGCUGUGCGGCUGAUUAGGUAGUUGGCGGGGUAACGGCCCACCAAGCCUGCGAUCAGUAAAUGGUGUGAGAGCACGACCAGUCACACGGGCACUGAGACACGGGCCCGACUCCUACGGGAGGCAGCAGUAAGGAAUAUUGGUCAAUGGACGAAAGUCUGAACCAGCCAUGCCGCGUGGAGGAUGAAGGUCCUCUGGAUUGUAAACUUCUUUUAUAUGGGACGAAAAAAGGGUUUUCUAACUCGUCUGACGGUACCAUAUGAAUAAGCACCGGCUAACUCCGUGCCAGCCGCCGCGGUAAUAC
rnacentral:rRNA from 1 species